rnacentral:rRNA from 1 species
UACGUAGGGGGCUAGCGUUGUCCGGAAUCAUUGGGCGUAAAGCGCGUGUAGGCGGUCCGGUAAGUCCGCUGUGAAAGUCGAGGGCUCAACCCUCGAAUGCCGGUGGAUACUGUCGGGCUAGAGUACGGAAGAGGCGAGUGGAAUUCCUGGUGUAGCGGUGAAAUGCGCAGAUAUCAGGAGGAACACCAAUUGCGAAGGCAGCUCGCUGGGACGUUACUGACGCUGAGACGCGAAAGCGCGGGGAGCAAACAGG